rnacentral:rRNA from 1 species
CCUACGGGAGGCAGCAGUGGGGAAUAUUGCACAAUGGGGGAAACCCUGAUGCAGCGACGCCGCGUGAGCGAAGAAGUAUCUCGGUAUGUAAAGCUCUAUCAGCAGGGAAGAAAAUGACGGUACCUGACUAAGAAGCCCCGGCUAACUACGUGCCAGCAGCCGCGGUAAUACGUAGGGGGCAAGCGUUAUCCGGAUUUACUGGGUGUAAAGGGAGCGCAGGCGGCGGGGUAAGUCUGAUGUGAAAGCCCGGGGCGCAACCCCGGGACUGCAUUGGAACCUGUCGUGCUGGAGUGGCGGAGGGGCAAGUGGAAGUCCUAGUGUAGCGGUGAAAUGCGUAGAUAUUAGGAGGAACACCAGUGGCGAAGGCGGCUUGCUGGACGACAACUGACGCUGAGGCUCGAAAGCGUGGGGAGCAAACAGGAUUAGAUACCCUUGUAGUC